UUAAGCGACUAAGCGUACACGGUGGAUGCCCUGGCAGUCAGAGGCGAUGAAGGGCGUGCUAAUCUGCGAUAAGCGCCGGUAAGGUGAUAUGAACCGUUAUAACCGGCGAUACCCGAAUGGGGAAACCCAGUGUGAUUCGUCACACUAUCAUUAACUGAAUCCAUAGGUUAAUGAGGCGAACCGGGGGAACUGAAACAUCUAAGUACCCCGAGGAAAAGAAAUCAACCGAGAUUCCCCCAGUAGCGGCGAGCGAACGGGGAGGAGCCCAGAGCCUGAAUCAGCAUGUGUGUUAGUGGAAGCGUCUGGAAAGGCGCGCGAUACAGGGUGACAGCCCCGUACACAAAAGCGCAUGUGCUGUGAGCUCGAUGAGUAGGGCGGGACACGUGGUAUCCUGUCUGAAUAUGGGGGGACCAUCCUCCAAGGCUAAAUACUCCUGACUGACCGAUAGUGAACCAGUACCGUGAGGGAAAGGCGAAAAGAACCCCGGCGAGGGGAGUGAAAAAGAACCUGAAACCGUGUACGUACAAGCAGUGGGAGCCCCACCACUAAGCCAGUGGUGAACUCCACAUACGCAUCCUUUGCUGAGGAUACGGUUAACGGAGCGCAAGCGACGUUCAACCGCAAAAGAAGCAGAGGGGGCUUAGUGGUGGGGUGACUGCGUACCUUUUGUAUAAUGGGUCAGCGACUUAUAUUCUGUAGCAAGGUUAACCGUAUAGGGGAGCCGGAGGGAAACCGAGUCUUAACCGGGCGUUAAGUUGCAGGGUAUAGACCCGAAACCCGGUGAUCUAGCCAUGGGCAGGUUGAAGGUUGGGUAACACUAACUGGAGGACCGAACCGACUAAUGUUGAAAAAUUAGCGGAUGACCUGUGGCUGGGGGUGAAAGGCCAAUCAAACCGGGAGAUAGCUGGUUCUCCCCGAAAGCUAUUUAGGUAGCGCCUCGUGAAUUCAUCUCCGGGGGUAGAGCACUGUUUCGGCUAGGGGGCCAUCCCGGCUUACCAACCCGAUGCAAACUGCGAAUACCGGAGAAUGUUAUCACGGGAGACACACGGCGGGUGCUAACGUCCGUCGUGAAGAGGGAAACAACCCAGACCGCCAGCUAAGGUCCCAAAGUCAUGGUUAAGUGGGAAACGAUGUGGGAAGGCCCAGACAGCCAGGAUGUUGGCUUAGAAGCAGCCAUCAUUUAAAGAAAGCGUAAUAGCUCACUGGUCGAGUCGGCCUGCGCGGAAGAUGUAACGGGGCUAAACCAUGCACCGAAGCUGCGGCAGCGACACUAUGUGUUGUUGGGUAGGGGAGCGUUCUGUAAGCCUGCGAAGGUGACCUGUGAGGGUUGCUGGAGGUAUCAGAAGUGCGAAUGCUGACAUAAGUAACGAUAAAGCGGGUGAAAAGCCCGCUCGCCGGAAGACCAAGGGUUCCUGUCCAACGUUAAUCGGGGCAGGGUGAGUCGACCCCUAAGGCGAGGCCGAAAGGCGUAGUCGAUGGGAAACGGGUUAAUAUUCCCGUACUUGGUGUUACUGCGAAGGGGGGACGGAGAAGGCUAUGUUGGUCGGGCGACGGUUGUCCCGGUUUAAGCGUGUAGGUGUGUGUUCCAGGUAAAUCCGGUUCACUUUAACACUGAGGCGUGAUGACGAGGCACUACGGUGCUGAAGCAACAAAUGCCCUGCUUCCAGGAAAAGCCUCUAAGCAUCAGGUAACAUCAAAUCGUACCCCAAACCGACACAGGUGGUCAGGUAGAGAAUACCAAGGCGCUUGAGAGAACUCGGGUGAAGGAACUAGGCAAAAUGGUGCCGUAACUUCGGGAGAAGGCACGCUGACAUGUAGGUGAAGUGAUUUACUCAUGGAGCUGAAGUCAGUCGAAGAUACCAGCUGGCUGCAACUGUUUAUUAAAAACACAGCACUGUGCAAACACGAAAGUGGACGUAUACGGUGUGACGCCUGCCCGGUGCCGGAAGGUUAAUUGAUGGGGUCAGCGCAAGCGAAGCUCCUGAUCGAAGCCCCGGUAAACGGCGGCCGUAACUAUAACGGUCCUAAGGUAGCGAAAUUCCUUGUCGGGUAAGUUCCGACCUGCACGAAUGGCGUAAUGAUGGCCAGGCUGUCUCCACCCGAGACUCAGUGAAAUUGAACUCGCUGUGAAGAUGCAGUGUACCCGCGGCAAGACGGAAAGACCCCGUGAACCUUUACUAUAGCUUGACACUGAACAUUGAGCCUUGAUGUGUAGGAUAGGUGGGAGGCUUUGAAGUGUGGACGCCAGUCUGCAUGGAGCCGGCCUUGAAAUACCACCCUUUAAUGUUUGAUGUUCUAACGUGGACCCGUGAUCCGGGUUGCGGACAGUGUCUGGUGGGUAGUUUGACUGGGGCGGUCUCCUCCUAAAGAGUAACGGAGGAGCACGAAGGUUGGCUAAUCCUGGUCGGACAUCAGGAGGUUAGUGCAAUGGCAUAAGCCAGCUUGACUGCGAGCGUGACGGCGCGAGCAGGUGCGAAAGCAGGUCAUAGUGAUCCGGUGGUUCUGAAUGGAAGGGCCAUCGCUCAACGGAUAAAAGGUACUCCGGGGAUAACAGGCUGAUACCGCCCAAGAGUUCAUAUCGACGGCGGUGUUUGGCACCUCGAUGUCGGCUCAUCACAUCCUGGGGCUGAAGUAGGUCCCAAGGGUAUGGCUGUUCGCCAUUUAAAGUGGUACGCGAGCUGGGUUUAGAACGUCGUGAGACAGUUCGGUCCCUAUCUGCCGUGGGCGCUGGAGAACUGAGGGGGGCUGCUCCUAGUACGAGAGGACCGGAGUGGACGCAUCACUGGUGUUCGGGUUGUCAUGCCAAUGGCACUGCCCGGUAGCUAAAUGCGGAAGAGAUAAGUGCUGAAAGCAUCUAAGCACGAAACUUGCCCCGAGAUGAGUUCUCCCUGAGACUUUAGGUCUCCUGAAGGAACGUUGAAGACGACGACGUUGAUAGGCCGGGUGUGUAAGCGCAGCGAUGCGUUGAGCUAACCGGUACUAAUGAACCGUGAGGCUUAACCUU
rnacentral:rRNA from 1 species